UAACCCUGCCUACCCCCCAUCCCCGCCCGCUUUGGGCAGCUCGAGACAAAAAUGUUUCCUUCUUCCCGGUGGUUCUCCUUGGCCACGCGGUGGUUUUCAUUAUGUACACAAAGGCACACAUAGUUACUUUUGGUGUCUUAUCUUCUGAAGCUGCGUCAAGGACAAGCAAGGAGACUUGUUAAAAAGUUAAGUUACUUUUCACAGCCUGCAGACCCUUCAAAGGCAAGAAAGCAAAUAGAAACUUGAAAAGGCAAAUAAGCCAGAAAAGUGUACUAAUAAAUGCAGUUAACAGGAUUAUUUUUUGAUGCCAGAUCCACCAACUGAAGAUUGGAGGAUGUAUUUGUUUCUUCUACUCAGCAACAAUUGACAAAGCAUAAUUUUCAUCAAGGCCUGUGUUCUAGGUGGAGGAAGGGUAUUACCCAGUUAUUAGAUCUCUACUUCUAGUCUCUGGAAGGCAGAUACUUUUAUAAAAAAAUACAGACAGCCAGGCUCUAAACACUGGACAAGAGGUCUGUAAUGAUCCAGUCACAUCUCAGGUCAAAGGGUCUUGGACUGCUGAAGAAAGAGCUGACCAUUUGUCUUAAGGGCCUGGAGCUGGCCGAGAGCCAUCUUGCUGUGAUUUUAUCAGCCCCAUCAGGAUAAUUAUCCUCCUCUUUCUUGCACAAAUAAAGUAACUGGUGCUACUA